GAUGAACGCUGGCGGCGUGCCUAAUACAUGCAAGUCGAGCGAACGGACGAGAAGCUUGCUUUUCUGAUGUUAGCGGCGGACGGGUGAGUAACACGUGGAUAACCUACCUAUAAGACUGGGAUAACUUCGGGAAACCGGAGCUAAUACCGGAUAAUAUUUUGAACCGCAUGGUUCAAAAGUGAAAGACGGUCUUGCUGUCACUUAUAGAUGGAUCCGCGCUGCAUUAGCUAGUUGGUAAGGUAACGGCUUACCAAGGCAACGAUGCAUAGCCGACCUGAGAGGGGGAUCGGCCACACUGGAACUGAGACACGGUCCAGACUCCUACGGGAGGCAGCAGUAGGGAAUCUUCCGCAAAGGGCGAAAGCCUGACGGAGCAACGCCGCGUGAGUGAUGAAGGUCUUCGGAUCGUAAAACUCUGUUAUUAGGGAAGAACAUAUGUGUAAGUAACUGUGCACAUCUUGACGGUACCUAAUCAGAAAGCCACGGCUAACUACGUG
rnacentral:rRNA from 1 species